rnacentral:lncRNA from 1 species
CUUGUUGUUUUCAGGUGUGAGGGUCUGCAGGUCUUGUCCACCGUCAACCUUCUGCUAUUGCAAGUGAUAAUGCAGCUGAUGCAACACGAAGGUCUCCAGGUGUGAGGGUCUGCAGGUCUUGUCCACCUUCAACCUUCUGCUAUUGCAAGUGAUAAUGCAGCUGAUGCAACACGAAGGUCUCCAGGUGUGAGGGUCUGUAGGUCUUGUCCACCGUCAACCUUCUGCUAUUGCAAGUGAUAAUGCAGCUGAUGCAACACGAAGGUCUCCAGACAAAGCCUAGUGAGCGAGUUAAGGUGAUCAGUGACGUCACAGGCAGUUUGUGCAUCAGUCCGUGCUGGGGCAACUAGUGCGGGCCGUCAGUGUGGCGAGGAUCACGGCGGUGGCAGGAGGGGGUGUUCUGCUGGCUGCAGUUUGGUUCUUGAUAGUCUGGUGAAGGGACUUUUGCUUCAUCUUCAGGCAAGUAAAUGGUGGUUCAUUAUUAUUUUAGGUGAUUGUUUCUUUAGAUUGUUAGUUUCUUAUUGUUUAUAUCGGUAAAAUUUAAUUUCUUUAAAAUUAAGCUAAAUUUAAUUAAUGUCCCUGAUCAAUAAGUUUAUUUAUCUACUAGAUUUUUUAAGUUUCUAGAUUUGUUUAAAGCUGCAUUUCAGGGUAGCCAUGUACAUAGGAUAGUGGGCUUGUUUAUGGUUUUAAACUGGAUGUUCCUAUAAUUCUCGGGUUGCCAAGAGGAUUUGUUCUCAAUAAAUGUGAGGAGGCCCAGGGGCGCGCGUUGGCUGGCUCGCUGGAGGCCAGGGGGCACUCGUGGGCCGGCUCGCUGGAGGCCCGGGGGCGCGGGUGGGCUGGCUCGCUGUACAACAUUACUGAAUGACAAAAUUUUGGUGGUGGUGUUAUGGCAAUAUGUACAGCCCACCUCACAUGUACAUGGUUGUUGUUUUAGAUUCAGCUAUUCUGAACAAAACGUUCGAAGUAGCACGGCCUAUGGUGAGCCUGUAAUCCCACUACUGCCACCAUUGUAAUACCCUUUACCUACUCUGUGCUCUACCCUUUCCCUUCACUAAAUACCCCAGCUUAACACUGUUACACUUCAGUAUGACCCCUCACUGAGCUGCCACGAAUCUAAGCUGACUAUUAAAUGAGGACACAAAAAUAGGGGUUAUUAAUUUAUAACUAAUAAUUAAAUUCUCAUUAAUCACUACCACCACCUUCCUAUAAGCAUAAAUGAAUGUGUAAAUUAUUGUUUCCCCAGGAAGGGACUCAAUAAUCAUGGACUCGGGGGCAAUUAGAAUCUUGGUAAUAACUCUUGAAGUAAUACUGUAAUGUUUACUGAUUGAGGAUCCAAAGGCUUCCAAUACCACCCGAGAAUAUCCCCUAUAAAAUGACUCGCACAGCAUCAAAAGAAAAGGGGAACAGAUAACUAAACACAAUUACAUUAAAACACGUAAAUUGGAAUCGAAUUGAAAUGUCCUACUUUACUAACACAUCUUAAGAGGCAAAAUGGAAAUUCGAGGUGCAUUUACUUGAAGUACCAAAACUCAGACAUUACCUUAAUCCUGCAACCUCGGCCAAGAUGUUGAGUGGCUGCCACCAGAUCAGGAGACCUGUUCCCCAGUUGACACCCCAAGACACACUAACUAAUAUUUUCUAAAACUCUUACCAAUGGAACAGGCUCCACCCACUUAGUUCCUAGGCCCAAUUAACUCCGCCUAUCAAAGCUCAACCAAUGACUACAGUGUGUCACUCUUAGGCCAGCCAAAACCUAUGACUUUGCCCUGCCCCUAGGCCUCCUUGGUGACAUUGGCCUGUCCUGAAAGUAUGUUUUACUCUUGUAGAAUCAUGAACCGAUCCCAUGCUACACAGGAAACCGUGAGUUAAGCGAGUAUGGCCAAUCCGAAACCUUGCUAAAGCAGUUUCCCACCGCCGGUUAUUGUGGUAGGAGGAAGGCCACGGGGACACACUGCGUUUGAGAGUACGUUACCUGUUACGUCCGUUACCAACUACAGAGGACCGAUAACCCUGCCAACGGGCAAGGAUGGAGGAAUGAAUAACAGGAUAAAAGUCAGAAUAAGGAAUACCUUUACGGGAGAUGGGACAAGAACGGAUAGCUUCCCUAGCGGCAGCAU